GCACCGUCCAGUCCGGUGUGAGUCGCACACAAACCCGGAGCUGCGACAGCUGGAGAAUGGACCGUGAGUGACGGGGCAACGAGCCAAUCGGAGGAAGGAGCGCGAGAGAGGGCGGGGCGUGCAGUGAGGCGAGUUAUUGCACCUCUACUGGAGAAAUGGGGGAUCACUACUUCUGUAGCAUCUGCUGUUUGUCUAAAGAAGAGAGGGACGACAUUGCCAAAAAUAAGACCAUCAACCUCACCCUUGCUGAGCAGGAGGAAAGAAAUAAAGUUGCUUUUAUAAGGCACGGCAGAAAGUAGAAAGACAAUGUUUAUGGAGCAGCUGAGGAUGAUUCAUGGAAGCGGAUACAAAUGCCAUGAAGACGCUAAAAGUCCCAUACUCCAACCCGCAGAACGAGAUCCAUAUGAAAGAGUUUGUCUCUGUUCGUCAACAUGGUCAUCAACUCACUAGGGUUCACCAAUUCCUCCAUCAUCCUCUACCUGAACAAAAUGGACAUCCUGGCUGAGAAGAUUCAAUUCUCUGAUCUAAAAACAUACUUUCCUGAAUUUGAAGGUAUAGGUGCACAUACUGGUAAGUGCCGAAUUACAUGUGUGACCUCUAGUUUGACACCUGAUUUGCUUAUCCAUCUGUUUUCUUUUGUGAUUUAGCGCCACCUUCAGGCAAGCUUGGGGACGUCCAUGAUGCCAUGCUGUUCAUCAGAAAUGUAUUUAUGCAAAAAAUGGUUUUACUAUUACUUAUUUAGUACUAACAUUUUGUAUAUUCUAAAAUGAAUAAUGCAAUAAUGCAAUAAUAACACGGUGUCAUAGAUCACUAUAAUAUGAGUGUACACUGUAAUUUUGAUUAUACAGUGUUGUAAAUCAAAUACAAAUAAUUGAAAAGACCCAACCUUUCUUCUAUUAGUGCAUCAGGGAGACCAAAUUUGCCAAAUUAGACAACUUCAAGCUGUUGUGGUCACGCCACGACUCCGCUCGCGUCCGUUGUAGACAUCACAAUCCACCAGGCAUCAUCUAUAUUAAAGAGAAAAGAAUCACUUCAUCCAAUGUUUAAGUGAAUAUGUUUGUGUAGAUGAUGCAGCCUUGCCAUUAACUUUUGUACAAAUCUGAAGGAUUUGUUUUUUUCCCCUCCAUUAGAUCAGAAGUCUGGAAUGUAGACGGACUGCCUCAAGAUUAUCCUGGAGAAUAGCCAAAAGCAAUGCCUCACCUGUGAUUUCUGACAUGUUAAUAAUACACUGAUGCUCAGUGAAAAACAACCUUUAACACCUAUCUCUGUCUCACCUAUAUAUCUUUUAACACCUACUGCUUUCAUUUCCUUUUAGCCCUAACGGCGACUAUAACAUUAUAGUCUAAUACAGUGUUUCCCAAACUUGUUUUAGUCAUGGAAAUUUUAACAAAUUUGUGGCACCCCACAAAAUUAAUUUUGUCAUCACUCUUGAAUUUCUAACUUCGAUAUUGUACUUUGAAAAUUAUAGAUAUUCGAU